rnacentral:rRNA from 1 species
GAUGAACGCUGGCGGCGUGCCUAGUACAUGCAAGUCGAGCGAACAGAUGAGGAGCUUGCUCCUCUGACGUUAGCGGCGGACGGGUGAGUAACACGUGGAUAACCUACCUAUAAGACUGGGAUAACUUCGGGAAACCGGAGCUAAUACCGGAUAAUAUAUUGAACCGCAUGGUUCAAUAGUGAAAGACGGUUUUGCUGUCACUUAUAGAUGGAUCCGCGCCGCAUUAGCUAGUUGGUAUGGUAACGGCUUACCAAGGCAACGAUGCGUAGCCGACCUGAGAGGGUGAUCGGCCACACUGGAACUGAGACACGGUCCAGACUCCUACGGGAGGCAGCAGUAGGGAAUCUUCCGCAAUGGGCGAAAGCCUGACGGAGCAACGCCGCGUGAGUGAUGAAGGUCUUCGGAUCGUAAAACUCUGUUAUUAGGGAAGAACAAAUGUGUAAGUAACUAUGCACGUCUUGACGGUACCUAAUCAGAAAGCCACGGCUAACUACGU